CGCGUAGGCGGUUCGUUAAGUCGUUGGUGAAAUCCCGGGGCUCAACUCCGGGGCGGCCGGCGAGACUGGCGGGCUCGAGCACGGUAGAGGCAGAUGGAAUUCCCGGUGUAGCGGUGGAAUGCGUAGAUAUCGGGAAGAACACCAGUGGCGAAGGCGUUCUGCUGGGCCGUUGCUGACGCUGAGGCGCGACAGCGUGGGGAGCAAACAGGAUUAGAUACCCUGGUAGUCCACGCCGUAAACGAUGGACACUAGGCGUCGGGGGGAGCGACCCUCCCGGUGCCGUCGCUAACGCAGUAAGUGUCCCGCCUGGGGAGUACGGCCGCAAGGCUGAA
rnacentral:rRNA from 1 species